CCAACACACUUUCCGCUAGUUCCAUCGCCUGCCGCCGUAAGAUCAUCUUCGUCGACAUCGACGAGAGCUUUUCGAUCAACUUCGUCUUUCAGUCGUCGCCGCCAAGACAUCAACAAUGCCGCCCAAGCCUCUCAAGAAGCCCAAGGCCCAGAAGAAAGAGUACGACGAGGUAUGUACCGCUCAUCUACAAGCGUUUGCAGUUGCAGCACCCCUGUCUAUUUAUUUAUUUUCUUUCAAAAAUCAAAGGUUAACUAGAUGAUGAUCGCCGAUCACUUUAGUUGUUGUCCAGCAAAUCGAUCGCCAAUCACUUUCCUGCAAUCUAUAGUUUGUUUCGUACCCAUGGACAAAUUGAUGGAAUCUGAACCUGGGUUUUCUCUGUUCUGCAGACGGAUCUGGAGAACUUGAAGAAGAAGAAAGAGGACGAGAAGGCCGUCAAGGAGCUCAAGGCCAAGGCUGCGCAGAAGGGCCCGCUCGGAGGCGCCGGUCUCAAGAAGAGCGGCAAAAAGUGAUCUGCUCGUUUUCCAAAACUUAUUGUCUGUACUUAGAAAGCCUCUGAAGAAAAAUGGCCCACGAAAAACUACUUUAGAUAGUUGAUUUUGGUCCAGUGUUUGGGGUCUCCUUUUCGUGUAUGAAUUGAGUUUUUGACGACACUAAGCCAGAAAUUUACAUGAGCUAAAUUACAUCUUCUGUUGGAAUCUUUAAUCAUAUGGUUUUCCUCUGUCUAGCUACUUGGAGGAUACUACAGCAAUUGACCUGGUAGCUACUGAAAUACGCAGAAAGCAUUGCCAAAUAACUCCGAUCGAUCAAUUUAGUAAAAAAGGAAAAAAGAAA
rnacentral:lncRNA from 1 species